UACGGAGGGGGCUAGCGUUGUUCGGAAUUAUUGGGCGUAAAGAGCUCGUAGGCGGUUUGUCGCGUCUGCUGUGAAAACUCGGGGCUUAACCCCGGGCCUGCAGUGGGUACGGGCAGACUAGAGUGCGGUAGGGGAGACUGGAAUUCCUGGUGUAGCGGUGAAAUGCGCAGAUAUCUGGAGGAACACCGGUGGCGAAGGCGGCAUCCUGGACCGGUAUUGACGCUGAGGCGCGAAAGCCAGGGGAGCAAAGCGGG
rnacentral:rRNA from 1 species